rnacentral:rRNA from 1 species
UACGUAGGGGGCAAGCGUUGUCCGGAUUUAUUGGGCGUAAAGAGCGUGUAGGCGGCCAGACAAGUCUGCUGUGAAAACUCGAGGCUCAACCUCGAGCUGUCGGUGGAAACUGUCUGGCUAGAGUCCGGAAGAGGAGAGUGGAAUUCCUGGUGUAGCGGUGAAAUGCGUAGAUAUCUGGAGGAAUACCGGUGGCGAAGGCGGCAUCCUGGACCAUUACUGACGCUGAGGCGCGAAAGCUAGGGGAGCAAACGGG